GAGUUUGAUCCUGGCUCAGGAUGAACGCUAGCGGCAGGCUUAACACAUGCAAGUCGAGGGGCAGCGCAGGUAGCAAUACUGGGCGGCGACCGGCAAACGGGUGCGGAACACGUACGCAAUCUACCUUUAUCUGGGGUAUAGCCCGGAGAAAUCCGGAUUAACCCCCCAUAAUAUAUAGGAGUGGCAUCACUCAAAUAUUAAAACUCAGGUGGAUAAAGAUGAGCGUGCGUCCCAUUAGCUAGUUGGUAGGGUAACGGCCUACCAAGGCGACGAUGGGUAGCUGGUGUGAGAGCACGACCAGCCACACGGGCACUGAGACACGGGCCCGACUCCUACGGGAGGCAGCAGUGAGGAAUAUUGGUCAAUGGACGCAAGUCUGAACCAGCCAUGCCGCGUGAAGGAUGAAGGCCUUCUGGGUUGUAAACUUCUUUUAUU
rnacentral:rRNA from 1 species